rnacentral:piRNA from 1 species
UGAUUGCUGAUCUGCAUUCCUGCGUAGCUU